AUGCUUAUUUGUUUUGACUCUUGUGUGCUGU
rnacentral:piRNA from 1 species